UAACAGUUGAUGGGUCUUUAGGAUGCAUGU
rnacentral:piRNA from 1 species